GAGACUGAACAGAUUCUCUACUAUGUAAGCAGCUGGGAACAUGACAGAGGAUAAAUUUCAAAUGUCAUAUUUUACCUUUGUUUGCAUUGAGAAAAAUUCAUUGAAACUCACCUGUAUAGCAUCUUCAUGAAUUCCUAUAUUUAAAAUAAAAUUGGAAGCAAAGAUUCAAUUUAAAAUCCAAGCCCAAGAAACAUGUGUUGUAUGUUCAAUUUAUGCUAAACUUUAUGUUGAAUUCUGAAGACAAAAUGAUAAAUAUGCAAGACUCCUGCUCUCAAAGCAUCUCACUUCUACUUGGGAGGAAGAAAGUUGGCAGUAAAUACACUAGUUGAUACUUACUGAAUGGACAUAGGACCAUGAUGAGAGAAUCCCACCCAGCAAACAGGACACAAUUUAUUUGGAGGAAGUGUUAUUCUGUGUAUGAAGCUGUG
rnacentral:lncRNA from 1 species